AGGGUUUGAUUAUGGCUCAGGACGAACGCUGGCGGCGCGCCUAACACAUGCAAGUCGAACGGAAUCAAGAGGAGCUUGCUUUUCUUGAUUUAGUGGCGAACGGGUGAGUAACGCGUGAGUAACCUGCCCUGGAGUGGGGGACAACAGUUGGAAACGACUGCUAAUACCGCAUAAGCCCACGGUACCGCAUGGUACUGAGGGAAAAGGAUUUAUUCGCUUCAGGAUGGACUCGCGUCCAAUUAGCUAGUUGGUGAGGUAACGGCCCACCAAGGCGACGAUUGGUAGCCGGACUGAGAGGUUGAACGGCCACAUUGGGACUGAGACACGGCCCAG
rnacentral:rRNA from 1 species